UGACGGCCAUAUCACGUUCGAACACCGGUUCCCAUAUGAUCCUCGAAGUUAAACAACGUCGAGCCUGGUCAGUACCUGGGUGACUGAUGACCGCUAGGGAAUACUAUGUGCUGUAAG